GCCUGCCUAGCUCAAUCGGAUAGAGCGUCAGACUCUUAUCCUGACCUAAUGUCGGUGCAAUCUGAAGGCUGCGAGUUCGACCCUCGCGGUGGGCU